rnacentral:tRNA from 1 species
GGGUAUAGCUUAGCGGUAGAGUGCAUGCUAAGCCAACAUGAGGUUCUGGGUUCAAUCCCCAGUACUUCCA